UGGCACAUAGCGUUCUUAAAGACAGUAGCGCUCCGUCAUGGGGUGUCGGGGGUCGGAGGUUCAAAUCCUCUCGUGCCGACCA
rnacentral:tRNA from 1 species